GUCAAGUGCUGCCCAUGUCAGCGUGUGGUCUCUGGGUCCACGACUGCCAGAGUGGCUUGGGGGCACAACAGCCUGUGUGCCCUGCUUAACAGAUGUUUGUUCUGUGCUGCAUUAGCCUCGGGUACCACCCCUGCCAUCCAGCUGCUACUCCCCCCAUCCGUUCAGACCCACCUCCCCCGUGCCCUUGCUCUCCCUCAUGCCCACAGUGACAGUUUCCAAGGUCACCACCAUCUUCAUUAGGAACAGGGUUAUUCAAAUGCUGGUUGCAUAUCCAUUAUGCGUGUGCGUGUAUGUGUAUGUGUUGGAAAGAAGGUUGUGGGCCCACAUGGCAAAGCUCAGCCUGAUUUCAGCAAGUUACCUAAGAGUUCCUAUACCUCUAUUUCAUCAUCUGUAAAGUGGGGGAAAUAACGGCACCCUGACUGUUCCACGGGGCACCUGCUAUUAUGUGUGUGCAAGAAGGAUAAGGGGCCUAUCAUUGUGCGUCGUGUGACAACGCGUUGUAAACCAAACAGGGCAACCUGUGAACACACAUGUAAAAACCAGAGUAAAACCCUUCUAGCCUUAUAAAUCCUUUGCUGAAAUGUGAGGUAUAAUUACUGUCACUUCAUCAGACAGGAACAACCAAGUCUCCCAGCUGUGUGUGGCUGUCUCCCUGCUCCUGGGCCCCGCAUGUAUAGCAACGUGGGCAACAGCAGAUGAGGCCCAGACAGGCUGGCAGUUGUCCUCUUGGAGCUGACUUGGCCUGUAGUUGCCCCUGUGGCCCCAGGAGGUGUGGGGGGGGAGGGAGCACCUACCUCUGCUGGCUCCCCAGGUCCAAGGAUGUGGGGUUAUCCCAUAGUCCUCUGGACACAGUCUGCAAAGGUGAUUCUCAUUGCUGGGAAUCCCCAGUCCCUUUUGGGAAGAGCAAGUCCUACCUGUGUGACCUCAUCUGAGGUAAUAGCCAGCACCAGAAUCGAGACCCUGAGAAUGUGGCCGAGUCAGGGUUGUGAUCACUUUGCUUCUGGGAUGGCCCCCCUGAGCCAUGGGGUCUAUGGGUCUCAGGUCUCAGGACCUGUUUUUGGGGUGUGAGGGAGAGAUCUGAUGACUGUCAUGGGUAGAAGUCCUCCAGGUUGGAAGGCACCUUUGAGGACACAAGCUGUCCCCUCAUUCCUCUGCUCUGGUGCUUCCGGGCACAGAAAACACCUUCCUCUGAAGGCAGCCUGUUCUGGCCACACAGUUCUGACUAUCACAGAGCUCAUCCUCCGAAUCCACCAAGCAGUCUAGGUCUUGGGCCUUCUGCUCCUGGGCCCUGGUUCUGCCUUUUAGGCCAAGGGAUACCGGUGAAGCCCUCUUCCGCUUGACAAUGCUGUGACCAUCUGCAGACAGAUGUCUGUCACGGAGGCCACUUCUGCAGGCACCCAGCUCCCCUGCUUGCUCUCCUGCUCCCCCAUUAAUGUCUUGGCCUUUCCCCAUGAGCGCCCCCCACCCCCCAUUCCUGCUUUGUUGGGCUCUACAGGCAGGGUGGCCAGAAUUCCAAGAGCAGUAGAGACUGAGUGGGGACUGACAAGCUGUGUACCUGGGGUGAAUUCCUGUGCCCCUCUGGGCCUCAGGCUCCCCAUCUGUAAAUGAAGGAGAUUGGACAAAAUAAUCUCUUAAGUCCCUCAAGCGUUAACAAUCUAAAUCAAGGACUCUCUAGGGACAACUGUGCUGUCUGAGCCGCCUCCCUAGAAAGACCUUCUGGCCGUGAGGGGCCUUCUCCUCCCAGGGCCUGUCAGCCAGGGGCUAGGAGAUUAAAGAGUCUGUUCGGCUGUCAGCUGUUGGCUCAUAACUCCUGGAGCCGGUGGUGAGGGGCCUUGUAGGCGGAAGGAUGACUGAUCUUUACUGGGUCUUACAGGUUUCUGGUUGCCAGUUAUAGGAACUAUGUUUAUGCUGAGAAUUGUUAAAAACAAAACCAAAAAAUCCCUCUGGGUUUUGGGGAGGUAGAGGACUUGGGCAUUUGGAGCCGUCCUGCUCAUCGGGAUAGGACUGCUUCCCUAGGGGGAUUUGCAGACGGAGACUUUCUGGUCACCUCCAGGACUAGGGUAGGGGUUGCUGGCAUUCAACUGUGGGAGGGUGUCCCAGGGAUGAGAUGUUGGAAGGCUGGGACAGUCCCAAGUACAUAAGAAAUGUCAUAACCCGAACUUCUCUCCUUCACCAGAAAAUCCCCCGUCAUGGUGUGUGCACACCCUGGAGACAGUCUGAGUCCAGAAUGUGAUGUGCUCAUUGAGAAAUGCAGCUAUGGCUAGUGUGUGAACACACCGAGAUUACUUGACCUAAUAUCGUUUUCUUUUCUUCUCUCCUUCCUUCCUUCCUUUGUUUCUUUCAGUUUCAGAGGUAGAAUUGACUGAUUCCCCAUUUGUGUUUAACACCCAGGUUCAUUCCACCAACUAACCUCCUGUUUCCUUAUCUGUAAAAUGGGGUCUGGGCAGUAGCUACCUUAGAGGUGGUUGUAGGGGUUAAAUGGACUGUAGUGCCAGGCGAGGGCUGCUCACAGUGCUUGGCACAAGAUAAUGUUACUGAGAAAUGGUGAUGGUAAGCGGUGGGUCAGGUGUGCUGGUUUGGGGGAAGCAUGGGACUUGGUCUGGGCUGCUCAGUCUUGCCCUGGGGCAAGUUCCAACUCAGAGGGCCUGUAAAUGCUCUGACACCCUCUGGGGAGACUCGCCCCUCUCCUCCCCAGGGUCUAGCCUCAGGAUGUCUCAAAGGUGUGAACACACGGGAAGCAGGUUUUCUGAUGAAGGAACCAGACCCUGUCUCCUGGGUCCUGACCCGGUUGUGCUGAGGUCCCAUUGGUGGAUUCCCUCUGGACCCAGUUUUUCCAGCUGUGGGAUACAAACAAGUGAGGGCAAAUAAUCUAUCUUGUGUGAAAACCUUUGUAUGCAAAUGCAGCGUGGUAAUGAACUUGGUAAAUUAACCCCAGAAACUCACCAGGCCAGAUCCGCAU